AGAAGUGGACCGGUUCCGCCCCCGUUCUGGUGGUCAGGACCGUUGGUUAAACAGAUCCACCAGCUGCACAUUUUUUGGCUGGAUAUUUUAGACCCACCCGAGGGCAUUUUGACACAAUUUUGAAAGUCACAGAAUCCAACAGGAGUAAAAUGUCAUUGAUCCUAUCACAUUUCCCAUGGAUGUUUGGGUGAUUUGUCACAGAUUAUGUUGACAUUUUAUCAUGACUCACACGGUAUAGUUGCCUAAAUGGAACUUGCAAGAGACAGGGGCCUAAGAUCUGGUUAUGGCUUGGAGAGCAACAGGAAUGGUUUAAGCCUAAAAGUUGUGUGGGUAAAGAAAACCGUAUGACCUUUUGGCUCUACAGACCCAAUUAAAACUUAAAACAAUGUGGUGCACAAGCUACCAACAAAGCUGUUUCUAGCUCAGAUUUUGGAGACCAGAUUUGAGCUGUUUGCAACAUUACGGAUUCUUAACGCAAACACAACACAACAAAAAAGGCCCCGCACACCCACAAAGGCGUUUUCUUUUAAACUGGAACUUAGAUUGUCAACAAAAAGCUCCUUACUCAAGAGAGUUCAAUUACGCACUCACCUAACACUCUGCUGUCGCUCCAAGGUGUUUGGUCUCCAGUAAAUGUUGAAAGCAUCUGAGUAGCUUACAGACAGUGGCUCCUCUGCUUGUUUGUCCUCCUGCUUGGGGACAUCCAGUCGGUCAAUGAAGCUCUGCAACUCUUUCCUGAAGGCCUUCAUCUGGGCGUUGAUACGAUAGAGCAGCUCAUGCUCUCUGAUCCUGUGGAGUAGAGCCUGGCAAACAGCUCCCCGUUGGUGACGUAUACUCGGGCCUCAGCGAUGAUAGUGCUGGUGUCAGCGAUGAGCCUGUCGAUGGUCCGACCCAGCCUCUCCGCCUCGAUGCGGAUGUCUAUCAUCUGCUGCCGGUCCUUCAGGCUUCUGGAUAAAAAACGACUGUCUACGGUGAGAGCUGCAAGGAAAAGUGGUUACAUCAUCAUCAUCAGCUCACUGCUUUCUUGCUGAAGGUAGUGAUAUCAUCCGGAUUUAUGGAACACUGAAGGCCCAGUAAUGGAAAAAUAGGACCGUUUAAAGUCACCCUCAAGAACAUUUCUGGUAAAAUAUUCAAAUUCAAAUCAUGGUGCUUCCAGUGCAAGUACUUUACAGGCAUAAAGUAAAAACACCCCCGCCCCCUCCAGAGGAGCUUGUAUGUGUUAUUCCUUUUAUUGUGUUUGUGAGUAUAAAUGAGUAUCUCAUAAAUCUUAAAAGGACAUAAUUCUGGAUGGUGGUGGACACUGCUGGGAUUAACUGAGU